AGUGAACGCUGGCGGUAGGCCUAACACAUGCAAGUCGAACGGCAGCACAGUAAGAGCUUGCUCUUACGGGUGGCGAGUGGCGGACGGUUGAGGAAUACAUCGGAAUCUACUUUUUCGUGGGUGAUAACGUAGGGAAACUUACGCUAAUACCGCAUACGACCUACGGGGGAAAGCAGGGGAUCUUCCGACCUUGCGCGAUUGAAUGAGCCGAUGUCGGAUUAGCUAGUUGGCGGGGUAAAGGCCCACCAAGGCGACGAUCCGUAGCUGGUCUGAGAGGAUGAUCAGCCACACUGGAACUGAGACACGGUCCAGACUCCUACGGGAGGCAGCAGUGGGGAAUAUUGGACAAUGGGCGCAAGCCUGAUCCAGCCAUACCGCGUGGGUGAAGAAGGCCUUCGGGUUGUAAAGCCCUUUUGUUGGGAAAGAAAAGCAGCAGGUUAAUACCCCGCUGUUCUGACGGUACCCAAAGAAUAAGCACCGGCUAACUUCGUG
rnacentral:rRNA from 1 species